GACGAACGCUGGCGGCGUGCUUAACACAUGCAAGUCGAGCGGAGCGGCGAACGGGUGAGUAACGCGUGAGUAACUGCCCCCCUCUCUGGGAUAACAGUUGGAAACGGCUGCUAAUACCGGAUAGUGGGGGAUGACUCGCGUCCUAUCAGCUUGUUGGUGGGGUAGUGGCCUACCAAGGCGACGACGGGUAGCCGGCCUGAGAGGGCGACCGGCCACAUGGGGCUGAGAGACGGCCCAAGCUCCUACGGCAGCGAGCAGUGGGGGUUAGUGCACUAGGGGCGAAGACCUGAUGCAGCGGCGCCUCGUGGGGGAUGAAGGUUUUCGGGUGUUAAACCUUUUUCGCUAUCGAAAGGGUAGGUGGGGAAGAAGCGCCGGCUAACUACGUGCCAGCAGCCGCGUUAAUAC
rnacentral:rRNA from 1 species